rnacentral:rRNA from 1 species
ACGUAGGGGGCGAGCGUUGUCCGGAUUUAUUGGGCGUAAAGCGCGCGUAGGCGGUCCGUUAAGUCGGAUGUGAAAAUCCGGGGCUCAACCCCGGACCUGCAUCCGAUACUGGCGGACUCGAGGCAGGCAGGGGAGAGUGGAAUUCCCGGUGUAGCGGUGAAAUGCGCAGAUAUCGGGAGGAACACCGGUGGCGAAGGCGGCUCUCUGGGCCUGUCCUGACGCUCAGGCGCGAAAGCUGGGGGAGCAAACAGGA